AACUGCUGGACAAGGAGUGUUCUGUUGAGCUCAUUUUCACACGAUGAACAACUGGCUUAGAACUGAUUCGGGCAAGGGGAAUCCGACUGUUUAAUUGAAACAAAGCAUUGCGAGGGCCUCAAAGGGUGGUGCCACAAUGUGAUUUCUGCCCAGUGCUCUGAAUGUCAAAGUGAGGAAAUUCAACUAAGCGCGGGUAAACGGCGGGAGUAACUAUGACUCUCUUAAGGUAGCCAAAUGCCUCGUCAUCCAAUUAGUGACGCGCAUGAAUGGAUUAAUGAGAUUCCCACUGUCCCCAUCUACUGUCCAGCGAAACCACAGCCAAGGGAACGGGCUUGGGUAAAUCAGCGGGGAAAGAAGACCCUGUUGAGCUUGACUCUAAUCUGACUUUGUGAAAUGACUUAGGAGGUGUAGGAUAUGUGGGAGCUCUGGUGAUCUUGAAAUACCACUACUCUUAAUGUCACUUUACUUACUCUAUCAUACUGUGGCCUGCUUCCCAGCAGGUUUUUGUUUCAAGGCAUCUCAUCUGACUUGUUGACUUGCGUAGAGGACGUAAUCAGGUGGGCAGUUUGGCUGGGGCGGCACAUCUGUUAAAGGAUAACGCAGGUGUCCCAAGGUAAGCUCAAGGAGAACAGAAAUCUCAUGUGGAUCACAAGGGGAAAUGCUUGCUUGAUUUUGCUUUUCAGUGUGAAGACAAACUGUGCAAACAUGGCCUAUCGAUCCUUUGG
rnacentral:rRNA from 1 species